rnacentral:rRNA from 1 species
GAUGAACGCUAGCUACAGGCUUAACACAUGCAAGUCGAGGGGCAGCAUGGUCUUAGCUUGCUAAGGCCGAUGGCGACCGGCGCACGGGUGAGUAACACGUAUCCAACCUGCCGUCUACUCUUGGACAGCCUUCUGAAAGGAAGAUUAAUACAAGAUGGCAUCAUGAGUCCACAUGUUCACAUGAUUAAAGGUAUUCCGGUAGACGAUGGGGAUGCGUUCCAUUAGAUAGUAGGCGGGGUAAUGGCCCACCUAGUCUUCGAUGGAUAGGGGUUCUGAGAGGAAGGUCCCCCACAUUGGAACUGAGACACGGUCCAAACUCCUACGGGAGGCAGCAGUGAGGAAUAUUGGUCAAUGGGCGAGAGCCUGAACCAGCCAAGUAGCGUGAAGGAUGACUGCCCUAUGGGUUGUAAACUUCUUUUAUAAAGGAAUAAAGUCGGGUAUGCAUACCCGUUUGCAUGUACUUUAUGAAUAAGGAUCGGCUAACUCCGUGCCAGCAGCCGCGGUAAUACGGAGGAUCCGAGCGUUAUCCGGAUUUAUUGGGUUUAAAGGGAGCGUAGAUGGAUGUUUAAGUCAGUUGUGAAAGUUUGCGGCUCAACCGUAAAAUUGCAGUUGAUACUGGAUAUCUUGAGUGCAGUUGAGGCAGGCGGAAUUCGUGGUGUAGCGGUGAAAUGCUUAGAUAUCACGAAGAACUCCGAUUGCGAAGGCAGCCUGCUAAGCUGCAACUGACAUUGAGGCUCGAAAGUGUGGGUAUCAAACAGGAUUAGAUACCCUGGUAGUCCACACGGUAAACGAUGAAUACUCGCUGUUUGCGAUAUACAGCAAGCGGCCAAGCGAAAGCGUUAAGUAUUCCACCUGGGGAGUACGCCGGCAACGGUGAAACUCAAAGGAAUUGACGGGGGCCCGCACAAGCGGAGGAACAUGUGGUUUAAUUCGAUGAUACGCGAGGAACCUCACCCGGGCUUAAAUUGCAGAUGAAUUACGGUGAAAGCCGUAAGCCGCAAGGCAUCUGUGAAGGUGCUGCAUGGUUGUCGUCAGCUCGUGCCGUGAGGUGUCGGCUUAAGUGCCAUAACGAGCGCAACCCUUGUUGUCAGUUACUAACAGGUUCCGCUGAGGACUCUGACAAGACUGCCAUCGUAAGAUGUGAGGAAGGUGGGGAUGACGUCAAAUCAGCACGGCCCUUACGUCCGGGGCUACACACGUGUUACAAUGGGGGGUACAGAGGGCCGCUACCACGCGAGUGGAUGCCAAUCCCAAAAACCUCUCUCAGUUCGGACUGGAGUCUGCAACCCGACUCCACGAAGCUGGAUUCGCUAGUAAUCGCGCAUCAGCCACGGCGCGGUGAAUACGUUCCCGGGCCU